AAGGAAGAGGAUCAAGCAACAUGGCAGUCUUUGAGCUACACAUCCUCCAUUACAGUUCCAGAGGUGUCUAGUAGCACUGUAGUAUUGCCCAGCAAAAUCGAGCAGCAGCUGCCACAGACGAUCCCGGGUCAGAGAUUGACAGCGAAUGAGAUCUACUGUUCCAGACGGGUUGAUCAUUUAGAGGGGAAGAGGCGAAUUACCUCCCCACUUGCAAAGAUAAGUGUUCAAUCUUUCUUUUGUUUGGGAAAUGAUUGUUUGUUAAUGUUCUGUUCUUUAUGACUUGGGUUGCUUAGUCGAGAUUUGUAUUUGUUUGUUUAUAGAACACUAUGGUCUGAUGUCAUCGCUGAUCUAUUGGAACUGCUGGAACCUAUACGUGGCUGGAUUUCUUUUGGGAUGAGUGAAGAGCACGUUGGAAUUGCUAUUUUCCAUGAUUAUGACUUUCAAAUUCCUGUCAUUUCUGUUUUGCACCUUGUGGACCCUCCUUGUUAAUAGCCCCUUUGCUUCAUUCUAGCUGCUAUUGUGAUCUAGAUAUUGCCAAAUUCUACUGCUAUUUGAUUGAAUUAUUAUUGCUGUUAAUUAUUGUCGACUUAGUUCCAUUUUAUAUAUUUGUAUUAUGCUACAUAGUAUUUUUAAAGGUUUAUAGAAUUCAAUCAAUAAAACCUUUUUCUUUUUUUUUUUU